rnacentral:rRNA from 1 species
UAGCGAAAGCGAGUUUUAACUGAGCGUUCAGUUACUUGACGUAGACCCGAAACCGGGCGACCUACCCAUGAGCAGGAUGAAGCGAAAGUAAAAUUUCGUGGAGGUCCGAACCCACGAGCGGUGAAAAGCUCGGGGAUGACUUGUGGGUAGCGGUGAAAUUCCAAUCGAGCCCGGAGAUAGCUGGUUCUCCCCGAAAUAGCUUUAGGGCUAGCCUCAAGGUGAGAGAUACGGAGGUAGAGCACUGAAUGUCCUAGGGGGUAUUGCACCUACCGAAGACUAUCAAACUCCGAAUGCCGUCAUCUUAUACUUGGGAGUCAGACUGUGGGUGAUAAGAUUCAUAGUCGAAAGGGCAACAGCCCAGAUCGUCAGCUAAGGUCCCUAAAUGUAAGUUAAGUGGUAAAGGAUGUGGGAUUGCACAGACAACCAGGAUGUUGGCUUAGAAGCAGCCACUCAUUCAAAGAGUGCGUAAUAGCUCACUGGUCGAGUGAUCCUGCGCCGAAGAUUUCCGGGGCUAAA